GGCUCCUUUCUAGCUUCAUGGCUCACACGUCCUAAGCCAGUAGACGCUUUCCCAGCUGAGACAUCUUCUGGCUUUCACAUCAGUUUUGGAGACAUUAAAAAGCUCUUAAAUACAAUCUUGGACAUAGGUGCCAGCCACUACGAAACAGAUGUAAUUCCCUUAGAGUCGCCAAAGUAGAAAAGAGGACAAAAAGUUAGAGGAUGAGAGUGGCCUCUGCCUCUUACAGGUGACCCUUAAGGUAUUUGCUGGAUGGUCUUAUGUGAGACAGAGGAAUGUAGCACCUCAUGCUGUCACACACAGUGCAGCACAGCUUGUCGUCCUCCGGCUUCAGACUUGGAGAAGGCCUUCCUUUGUGCUCAUAAAAGCUUUCAAUGUCAUUUCCAUCCCACAGGCCGGCUUGCUUGUACAGGAGUGAAGCUCAACCAUGAAAUGCCCACCAUGGUGGAGAGGGAGUGCAGCCAUGAGAUGUCCAGCCAUGGUGAGAAUGCUCAUUGAAAACUCCAGCUGAUACCUUCAACUUCAGAGGGCUUCUAUUGGAUAUGUCCUAUUUCAGAACAACGUACCCGGGGUGGAAGAGGACGCAGAUCAAUCUAAACACCGUCAAAAUACACGGCAGUGCCUUCCAGCUGCGCACAGCAUGGGCCCACAGAUGCAGGGGCUGGAGCUGAAGCUUGCACACGGCCCAUAUCAGGAGCAGGGGCCCGAGGCCAACCCACAGUGAAACCUCACAUGGCUGGGAAGCGUACAUGGGGGCUGUCUGCUGCAGCAGAGCAUGGCUUCGGGACCACGCAGGACUGGAUUAAAGUUUUGUUUCCUCACGCACUUUCUCCUGUUUCUGAGCCUCAGUUUCUUCCCUGGGAACAGUGCUGCUUAUCUUGAGGGCUUGAGUGGACCAGAGACAACAAGGAAAGCACAGUCUGCGCAGAUCUGGUACUUAGCUGAUGGUGAUCGGGCCUGAAUAUGAAAAAGGAAGUCACAAUGACCUUGUGGCUGAUGUGUUCAACCUUGGGCUGGAACUACUUUGGAGUUUGGUAUAAAGCAAGAGCUAACGGAA